GAUAUCAACUGAAAAUGUCAUCAACAACAAAGUUGAAUAACUCAUCAAGAUCUAAAACUUUUAUUUUGGUCAUUUCUUCAUACGACAAAGUGAUAGUAACAUUAUUCACAAAAUUGACAUAUCUCUUAUCUGGUUUUAUAAACUAUGACACAUAUAUGUAAAAUUUGUGAAUAAUAUUACUAACGUUUCGUCGGAUGAAGAAAUAACAAAAGUAAAAGUUUUAGAUCUCUAUGAGUUAUUCAACUUUGUUGUUCAUGACUUUUUCAAUUGAAAUC
rnacentral:pre_miRNA from 1 species